rnacentral:lncRNA from 1 species
UCGUGAGCUUAGAGACCGUAUUGAUUCAGUAAAGAACACGCAGAAGAUCACUGAAGCCAUGAAACUUGUGGCUGCUGCUAAAGUUAGGAGAGCACAAGAAGCUGUUGUCAAUGGCAGACCUUUCUCUGAGUCCCUGGUUGAAGUUCUUUACAACAUCAAUGAACAGCUCCAGACUGAAGACAUAGAUGCUCCUCUCACAAACGUCAGGCCUGUCAAAAAAGUUGCUUUGGUUGUUGUUACUGGUGAUCGUGGUCUCUGUGGAGGUUUUAACAAUGCUAUCAUCAAGAAAGCUGAAGCUAGAAUUGCAGAAUUGAAGCAGCUUGGACUUGAUUAUACAAUAAUCAGUGUGGGGAAAAAGGGUAAUUCAUAUUUCAUCCGCAGGCCUUACAUCCCAGUGGACAGAUUCCUAGAUGGUAGCUCACUCCCUACAGCUAAAGAAGCUCAGGCAAUUGCUGAUGAUGUUUUUUCACUCUUUGUUAGUGAAGAAGUCGAUAAAGUGGAGCUUUUGUACACCAAAUUCGUAUCCUUGGUUAAGUCUGAUCCUGUGAUUCAUACUUUGCUUCCACUGUCACCAAAGGGUGAAAUCUGUGAUGUAAAUGGUGUUUGUGUUGAUGCUGCUGAGGAUGAGUUCUUCAGAUUGACAACCAGGGAAGGGAAACUGACGGUGGAGAGAGAAGUUAUGAGGACUCAGACAGCUGAUUUCUCUCCCAUUUUGCAGUUUGAGCAGGACCCAGUUCAGAUUCUUGAUGCUUUGUUGCCUCUUUAUCUCAACAGCCAGGUUCUGAGGGCUUUGCAGGAAUCACUAGCCAGUGAGCUUGCAGCUAGGAUGAGUGCCAUGAGCAA